rnacentral:rRNA from 1 species
UACGUAGGGUGCGAGCGUUGUCCAGAAUUACUGGGCGUAAAGAGCUCGUAGGUGGUUUGUCGCGUUGUCCGUGAAAACUCACAACUCAAUUGUGGGCGUGCGGGCGAUACGGGCAGACUGGAGUACUGCAGGGGAGACUGGAAUUCCAGGUGUAGCGGUGAAAUGCGUAGAUAUCUGGAGGAACACCGGUGGCGAAGGCGGCAUCCUGGACCGACACUGACGCUGAGGCGCGAAAGCUAGGGGAGCAAACGGG